GCCGCCGGGCGGGAAUCUUUCUCCCCGCCUGGAUCAGCGUGCAGGGUGCAAGUUUGCGCCCGGACCAAUGCCCUGAGCUAGAGGUGACCGGGCAGUGCUCCCAGGUGUACACAAAGUGAAAUUACAAACCUACUUUUUCUCCCCAUAAACACUGCCUCGUUUGCCAAGAUUGUUUUUCUAUGGAGCAUUCACCCAAAGAGCCAUACAUAAAGAGUGCAGGAAUCCUGCCCACACACUAAGACCAAAGAAUCCAGCUGAGGCCUGGAUCCCACAGCACUGGGAAGGCCCAAAGGCCAGUGAAAGCCAGAAAGUCUGUGCCAGCAGGAUAAAGCAUCUGUGCUCGCAGGCUGAGGAAUCCGCACUGGAGCCAGGAAGCCUUGCUCAAAGACCUGCAUGUUGUCUGAAGUUAUCCCUUUUUCAGGCAUCUUCUAAUUUCAAGACUAUCAUCGGCAGAAGGUUGGCCUGGCUAGGCUAGGGGUGCUCCAGGGAGGAUUGACAACUGUGCCCACAGGUCCCUUUGAUAUGGGGGAAAUGAAACUCCGGACCUGAAAUGUACCUGGGAUGAGUUCCUGUUCUCUAAAACAGAACAAUGAAUUUUAAGAACAAAU